rnacentral:rRNA from 1 species
AGCUUCAGUAGCGUAUAUUAAAGUUGUUGCAGUUAAAAAGCUCGUAGUCGCAUUUCUGGCGAGAGGAUCCGGUCCGACCUUUUGGUGGGUUCUUGGGUCUCUUUCGCCAUCCUUGAGUGGUCCGUUCUGGCAUUAGGUUGUCGGAGCGUCAGCCGCUCAUCGUUUACUGUGAGAAAAUUAGAGUGUUCAAAGCAGGCUUAUGCCGUUGAAUAUAUUAGCAUGGAAUAAUAAGAUAGGACCUCGGUACUAUUUUGUUGGUUUGCGCACCAAGGUAAUGAUGAACAGGGACAGUUGGGGGUAUUUGUAUUUCGUUGUCAGAGGUGAAAUUCUUAGAUUUACGAAAGACAAACUACUGCGAAAGCAUUUACCAAGGAUGUUGGCA